UAGCGGGGGGGUAAGCGUUGUUCGGAAUUACUGGGCGUAAAGGGCUCGUAGGCGGCCAACUAAGUCAUACGUGAAUACCCUCAGCUUAACUGGGAACUGCGUGUUGAAUACUGGAUGGCUUGGAUUUGGGAGAGGGAGUAGCGGAAUUCCAGGUGUAGCGGUGAAAUGCGUAGAUAUCUGGAGGAACACCGGUGGCGAAGGCGGGUCACUGGGCCGAUACUGACGCUGAGGAGCGAAAGCGUGGGGAGCGAAACAGGAUUGAGAAACCCUUGGUAG
rnacentral:rRNA from 1 species